GCUCCCAUGGCGUAGUGGUCACUGCACUCGCCUUGCACGCGGGAGACCCGGGUUCGAUUCCCGGCAGGGUCA
rfam:Asian citrus Psyllid, Diaphorina citri - Florida Strain, whole genome shotgun sequence.